rnacentral:rRNA from 1 species
UACGUAGGCAGCAAGCGUUGUUCGGAAUUACUGGGCGUAAAGAGUGUGUAGGCGGUGCUCUAAGUUCGGUGUGAAAUCUCCCGGCUCAACUGGGAGGGUGCGCCGGAAACUGGGGUGCUGGAGCGCGGGAGAGGAAAGCGGAAUUCCUGGUGUAGCGGUGAAAUGCGUAGAUAUCAGGAGGAACACCGGUGGUGUAAACGGCUUUCUGGACCAUAACUGACGCUGAGGCACGAAAGCGUGGGUAGCAAACAGG